UCCUGACUGACCGAUAGUGAACCAGUACCGUGAGGGAAAGGCGAAAAGAACCCCGGCGAGGGGAGUGAAAAAGAACCUGAAACCGUGUACGUACAAGCAGUGGGAGCACGCUUAGGCGUGUGACUGCGUACCUUUUGUAUAAUGGGUCAGCGACUUAUAUUCUGUAGCAAGGUUAACCGAAUAGGGGAGCCGAAGGGAAACCGAGUCUUAACUGGGCGUUAAGUUGCAGGGUAUAGACCCGAAACCCGGUGAUCUAGCCAUGGGCAGGUUGAAGGUUGGGUAACACUAACUGGAGGACCGAACCGACUAAUGUUGAAAAAUUAGCGGAUGACUUGUGGCUGGGGGUGAAAGGCCAAUCAAACCGGGAGAUAGCUGGUUCUCCCCGAAAGCUAUUUAGGUAGCGCCUCGUGAAUUCAUCUCCGGGGGUAGAGCACUGUUUCGGCAAGGGGGUCAUCCCGACUUACCAACCCGAUGCAAACUGCGAAUACCGGAGAAUGUUAUCACGGGAGACACACGGCGGGUGCUAACGUCCGUCGUGAAGAGGGAAACAACCCAGACCGCCAGCUAAGGUCCCAAAGUCAUGGUUAAGUGGGAAACGAUGUGGGAAGGCCCAGACAGCCAGGAUGUUGGCUUAGAAGCAGCCAUCAUUUAAAGAAAGCGUAAUAGCUCACUGGUCGAGUCGGCCUGCGCGGAAGAUGUAACGGGGCUAAACCAUGCACCGAAGCUGCGGCAGCGACGCUUAUGCGUUGUUGGGUAGGGGAGCGUUCUGUAAGCCUGCGAAGGUGUGCUGUGAGGCAUGCUGGAGGUAUCAGAAGUGCGAAUGCUGACAUAAGUAACGAUAAAGCGGGUGAAAAGCCCGCUCGCCGGAAGACCAAGGGUUCCUGUCCAACGUUAAUCGGGGCAGGGUGAGUCGACCCCUAAGGCGAGGCCGAAAGGCGUAGUCGAUGGGAAACAGGUUAAUAUUCCUGUACUUGGUGUUACUGCGAAGGGGGGACGGAGAAGGCUAUGUUGGCCGGGCGACGGUUGUCCCGGUUUAAGCGUGUAGGCUGGUUUUCCAGGCAAAUCCGGAAAAUCAAGGCUGAGGCGUGAUGACGAGGCACUACGGUGCUGAAGCAACAAAUGCCCUGCUUCCAGGAAAAGCCUCUAAGCAUCAGGUAACAUCAAAUCGUACCCCAAACCGACACAGGUGGUCAGGUAGAGAAUACCAAGGCGCUUGAGAGAACUCGGGUGAAGGAACUAGGCAAAAUGGUGCCGUAACUUCGGGAGAAGGCACGCUGAUAUGUAGGUGAAGUCCCUUGCGGAUGGAGCUGAAAUCAGUCGAAGAUACCAGCUGGCUGCAACUGUUUAUUAAAAACACAGCACUGUGCAAACACGAAAGUGGACGUAUACGGUGUGACGCCUGCCCGGUGCCGGAAGGUUAAUUGAUGGGGUCAGCGCAAGCGAAGCUCUUGAUCGAAGCCCCGGUAAACGGCGGCCGUAACUAUAACGGUCCUAAGGUAGCGAAAUUCCUUGUCGGGUAAGUUCCGACCUGCACGAAUGGCGUAAUGAUGGCCAGGCUGUCUCCACCCGAGACUCAGUGAAAUUGAACUCGCUGUGAAGAUGCAGUGUACCCGCGGCAAGACGGAAAGACCCCGUGAACCUUUACUAUAGCUUGACACUGAACAUUGAGCCUUGAUGUGUAGGAUAGGUGGGAGGCUUUGAAGUGUGGACGCCAGUCUGCAUGGAGCCGGCCUUGAAAUACCACCCUUUAAUGUUUGAUGUUCUAACGUGGACCCGUGAUCCGGGUUGCGGACAGUGUCUGGUGGGUAGUUUGACUGGGGCGGUCUCCUCCUAAAGAGUAACGGAGGAGCACGAAGGUUGGCUAAUCCUGGUCGGACAUCAGGAGGUUAGUGCAAUGGCAUAAGCCAGCUUGACUGCGAGCGUGACGGCGCGAGCAGGUGCGAAAGCAGGUCAUAGUGAUCCGGUGGUUCUGAAUGGAAGGGCCAUCGCUCAACGGAUAAAAGGUACUCCGGGGAUAACAGGCUGAUACCGCCCAAGAGUUCAUAUCGACGGCGGUGUUUGGCACCUCGAUGUCGGCUCAUCACAUCCUGGGGCUGAAGUAGGUCCCAAGGGUAUGGCUGUUCGCCAUUUAAAGUGGUACGCGAGCUGGGUUUAGAACGUCGUGAGACAGUUCGGUCCCUAUCUGCCGUGGGCGCUGGAGAACUGAGGGGGGCUGCUCCUAGUACGAGAGGACCGGAGUGGACGCAUCACUGGUGUUCGGGUUGUCAUGCCAAUGGCACUGCCCGGUAGCUAAAUGCGGAAGAGAUAAGUGCUGAAAGCAUCUAAGCACGAAACUUGCCCCGAGAUGAGUUCUCCCUGACCCUUUAAGGGUCCUGAAGGAACGUUGAAGACGACGACGUUG
rnacentral:rRNA from 1 species